UGUGGGAGCGAGCCUGCUCGCGAUAGCGAUGUGUCAGUCAACCUCAAUGCAGAUUGACCAGGCGCCAUCGCGAGCAGGCUCGCUCCCACA
rnacentral:misc_RNA from 1 species